rnacentral:rRNA from 1 species
GUUGAUCCUGCGGGAGAUCACUGCUCGAGGGAUUCGCGUAAGUCAUGCAAGUCUAUGCUUCGGCAUGGCGGAAGGCUCAGUAACACGUCAGUAAUCUACCCUUAGGUGUGGCAUAACCUCGCGAAAGUGAGGAUAAUUCCACAUAGGCGGCGCAUGCUGGAAUGCAGCGCCGCUCAAAGCUUCGGCGCCUAAGGAUGAGCUGGCGGCAGAUUAGCUUGUUGGUGGUGUAAUGGACCACCAAGGCGACGAUCUGUAAGGGGGGUGAGAGCCCGAGCCCUGAGAAGGACACUGAGACAAGGGUCCUAGCUCUACGGAGUGCAGCAGACGCGAAUCCUCUACAAUGCACGCAAGUGUGAUAGGGGGAUCCCUCGUGCUGGCGUUAUGCGUCAGCUUUUUUAGAGCGUAGAUUGCUCUAAGAAUAAGGGGUGGGCAAGACCGGUGCCAGCCGCCGCGGUAAUCCCGGCGCCCCAAGUGGUGAUCACGUUUAUUGGGCCUAAAGCAUCCGUAGCCAGCCAACUAAGUUUCCAGUUAAAUCUAGCAGCCUAACUGUUAGCCCGCUGGAAAUACUGGUAGCUUGAGACCGAGAGGAGCUAGAGGAAUGCCGUGGGGAGUGGUAAAAUGCUGUAAUCCACGGUGGACCAUCAGUGGCGAAGGCGUCUAGCUAGAACGGGUCUGACGGUCAGGGAUGAAAGCUAGGGGAGCAAACAGGAUUAGAUACCCUGGUAGUCCUAGCUGUAAACGCUGCCUGUUUGGUGUUGUGCAUCCUUCGAGGGUGUGCAGCGCCGUAGCGAAGGUGUUAAACAGGCCGCCUGGGGAGUACGGUCGCAAGGCUGAAACUUAAAGGAAUAGGCGGGGGAGUACUACAAGGGGUGCUUGCUGCGGUUUAAUUGGAUUAUACGCCCGGAACCUUACCAGCGGCGACAGCAGAAUGAAGGUCAGCCUGAAUGGCUCACUCGACGCGCUGAGAAGUGUUGCAUGGCCGCCGUCAGCUCGUGCUGUGAAGUGUUCGGUUAAGUCCGAGAACGAGCAAGACCUGCGUCUCUAAUUGCUACCUAGCUUUUUGGAGUUAGGGCACAUUGGAGAGACUGCAUGGGUAACCAUGAGGAAGGUGCAGGCCACGGUAGGUCAGUAUGACCUGAAUCCGCUGGGCUACACGCGGCAGGCAAUGGUUGAUACAACGGGAUGCAACUCCGAAAGGAGAAGCUAAUCCCUUAAAGUUAAUCUUGUCUGAAUCGAGGGCUGCAACCCGCCCUCGUGAAAGCGAAAUCCCUAGUAAACGUGCGUUAGCAUCGUGCGUCGAAUACGUCCCUGUUCCUUGCACUCACUGCCUGUCAACUCAUCCAAGUGAGGUUUGGAUGAGGCUUUAUCAUUGGUAGAGUCGAAUCUGAGCUUCGUGAGGCGGAGUAAGUCAACACAAGGUA